AGCGUUGUUCGGAAUUACUGGGCGUAAAGCGCACGUAGGCGGAUUGCUAAGUCAGGGGUGAAAUCCUGGAGCUCAACUCCAGAACUGCCCUUGAUACUGGCGAUCUCGAGUCCGGGAGAGGUGAGUGGAACUGCGAGUGUAG
rnacentral:rRNA from 1 species